GAUCAGUGUCCUGAUUGGGUAAACACCCAGUAGUUCAGAAGUGGACGUGAUGACCAUUCAGAGUGGGCAGAACUAUGUUUUCUGAGCACUGAGCCACAUUUUCAAGGAACAGCUUUGUGGAUCUAAGUCAGUUUCUGCCUACUAGCAGGCAUGCUGAGUAUCUUCUCUGGUUCUCUGAGGCUCACUGUUCAUAAAAUGGAAGUAAUAUUUCUUUACAGAAUUUGUUAAUAGUACAGGGUUGUUGUUACUGAUCUUACUAGGAUUUGUGGAGUUUUUAGCUCUUGCUAGUAUGAUCCAUCUAUAAUUUCCUCAUUGAUUCUAGAGAUGGGCAGGAGAAGUUUUUCAGGACAUCUGACAAAAGCAAAUUAAGGCAGAAAAUACAGUGCAAUAAGACAUGGAAAGAAAUACAGUCACCAGUACUAGGAAGAAAAUAAGUCAUCAGGGUCAGAAAGGAAAUACAGUCAUCAAGACCAGGAAGGAAAUACAGUCAUCAACAACACCAGGAAGGAAAUACAGUCAUCAACAACACCAGGAAGGAAGUACAGUCAUCAAGACCAGGAAGGAAGUACAGUCAUCAAGACCAGGAAGGAAUACAGUCGUCAAGGCUAGGAAGGAAUACAGUCAUCAACAACACCAGGAAGGAAAUACAGUCAUCAACAACACCAGGAAGGAAGUACAGUCAUCAAGACCAGGAAGGAAGUACAGUCAUCAAGACCAGGAAGGAAUACAGUCGUCAAGGCUAGGAAGGAAUACAGUCAUCAACAACACCAGGAAGGAAAUAUAGCCAUCAAAACCAGGAAGGAAUGCAGUCUUUCAAGGCCAGGAUAGCACAGCAGCAAGGUUGGGUCACGUAGUACCUAUAGACUCAUGUACCUAUUCCUCCUUUAUUCAUCUGAGACCCCAGAGCAUGGGGUGAUGCCAUCCACAUCCAAGCUGGGAUUUCUCAGUUAGAGCUUUUUGGAAACUCCUUCAUUAAUACAUCCAAAGGUUUAUCGAUAUCCUAGGAGGCUCUAAUUCCCAUGGAGUUGACCAUGAGAGCAUGUACUGCAUCCAUGCUACAGUCCUUCAAGCUUGGGUAAAGAUAGAGUCAGGGAGAUCUCCAGGACUCUCAUUUACAGCUUCUCGUCUGCUGAAGUGUUCUGGGAACGCCUUGUAUAUAUUUUGUG
rnacentral:lncRNA from 1 species